rnacentral:rRNA from 1 species
GACGAACGCUGGCGGCGUGCUUAACACAUGCAAGUCGAACGGAAAGGCCCUUCGGGGUACUCGAGUGGCGAACGGGUGAGUAACACGUGGGUGAUCUGCCCUGCACUUUGGGAUAAGCCUGGGAAACUGGGUCUAAUACCGAAUAGGACCACGCGCUUCAUGGUGUGUGGUGGAAAGCUUUUGCGGUGUGGGAUGGGCCCGCGGCCUAUCAGCUUGUUGGUGGGGUAAUGGCCUACCAAGGCGACGACGGGUAGCCGGCCUGAGAGGGUGACCGGCCACACUGGGACUGAGAUACGGCCCAGACUCCUACGGGAGGCAGCAGUGGGGAAUAUGGCACAAGGGGCGCAAGCCUGAUGCAGCGACGCCGCGUGAGGGAUGACGGCCUUCGGGUUGUAAACCUCUUUCACCAGGGACGAAGCGUAAGUGACGGUACCUGGAGAAGAAGCACCGGCCAACUACGU